GUGGGUACAGCUCAGCGGUAGAGCAGACGCUUAGCAUGCAUGAGGUCCUGGGUUCAAUCCACAGUACCUCCA
rnacentral:tRNA from 1 species